UGACGUCAAAUCAGCACGGCCCUUAUGUCCAGGGCUACACACGUGUUACAAUGGCCAGUACAAAGGGCAGGCUACCGGGUGACCGGAUGCUAAUCUCUAAAGCCUGGUCUCAGUUCGGAUCGAAGUCUGCAACCCGACUUCGUGAAGCUGGAUUCGCUAGUAAUCGCGCAUCAGCCAUGGCGCGGUGAAUACGUUCCCGGGCCUU
rnacentral:rRNA from 1 species